rnacentral:rRNA from 1 species
UUAAGCGACUAAGCGUACACGGUGGAUGCCCUGGCAGUCAGAGGCGAUGAAGGACGUGCUAAUCUGCGAUAAGCGUCGGUGAGGUGAUAUGAACCGUUAUAACCGGCGAUUUCCGAAUGGGGAAACCCAGUGUGUUUCGACACACUAUCAUUAACUGAAUCCAUAGGUUAAUGAGGCGAACCGGGGGAACUGAAACAUCUAAGUACCCCGAGGAAAAGAAAUCAACCGAGAUUCCCCCAGUAGCGGCGAGCGAACGGGGAGGAGCCCAGAGCCUGAAUCAGUGUGUGUGUUAGUGGAAGCGUCUGGAAAGGCGCGCGAUACAGGGUGACAGCCCCGUACACAAAAAUGCACAUAUUGUGAGCUCGAUGAGUAGGGCGGGACACGUGGUAUCCUGUCUGAAUAUGGGGGGACCAUCCUCCAAGGCUAAAUACUCCUGACUGACCGAUAGUGAACCAGUACCGUGAGGGAAAGGCGAAAAGAACCCCGGCGAGGGGAGUGAAAAAGAACCUGAAACCGUGUACGUACAAGCAGUGGGAGCCUCUUAAUGGGGUGACUGCGUACCUUUUGUAUAAUGGGUCAGCGACUUAUAUUCUGUAGCAAGGUUAACCGAAUAGGGGAGCCGAAGGGAAACCGAGUCUUAACUGGGCGUUAAGUUGCAGGGUAUAGACCCGAAACCCGGUGAUCUAGCCAUGGGCAGGUUGAAGGUUGGGUAACACUAACUGGAGGACCGAACCGACUAAUGUUGAAAAAUUAGCGGAUGACUUGUGGCUGGGGGUGAAAGGCCAAUCAAACCGGGAGAUAGCUGGUUCUCCCCGAAAGCUAUUUAGGUAGCGCCUCGUGAAUUCAUCUCCGGGGGUAGAGCACUGUUUCGGCAAGGGGGUCAUCCCGACUUACCAACCCGAUGCAAACUGCGAAUACCGGAGAAUGUUAUCACGGGAGACACACGGCGGGUGCUAACGUCCGUCGUGAAGAGGGAAACAACCCAGACCGCCAGCUAAGGUCCCAAAGUCAUGGUUAAGUGGGAAACGAUGUGGGAAGGCCCAGACAGCCAGGAUGUUGGCUUAGAAGCAGCCAUCAUUUAAAGAAAGCGUAAUAGCUCACUGGUCGAGUCGGCCUGCGCGGAAGAUGUAACGGGGCUAAACCAUGCACCGAAGCUGCGGCAGCGACACUAUGUGUUGUUGGGUAGGGGAGCGUUCUGUAAGCCUGUGAAGGUGUACUGUGAGGUAUGCUGGAGGUAUCAGAAGUGCGAAUGCUGACAUAAGUAACGAUAAAGCGGGUGAAAAGCCCGCUCGCCGGAAGACCAAGGGUUCCUGUCCAACGUUAAUCGGGGCAGGGUGAGUCGACCCCUAAGGCGAGGCCGAAAGGCGUAGUCGAUGGGAAACAGGUUAAUAUUCCUGUACUUGGUGUUACUGCGAAGGGGGGACGGAGAAGGCUAUGUUGGCCGGGCGACGGUUGUCCCGGUUUAAGCGUGUAGGCUGGUUUUCCAGGCAAAUCCGGAAAAUCAAGGCUGAGGCGUGAUGACGAGGCACUACGGUGCUGAAGCGACAAAUGCCCUGCUUCCAGGAAAAGCCUCUAAGCAUCAGGUAACAUCAAAUCGUACCCCAAACCGACACAGGUGGUCAGGUAGAGAAUACCAAGGCGCUUGAGAGAACUCGGGUGAAGGAACUAGGCAAAAUGGUGCCGUAACUUCGGGAGAAGGCACGCUGAUAUGUAGGUGAAGCGACUUGCUCGUGGAGCUGAAAUCAGUCGAAGAUACCAGCUGGCUGCAACUGUUUAUUAAAAACACAGCACUGUGCAAACACGAAAGUGGACGUAUACGGUGUGACGCCUGCCCGGUGCCGGAAGGUUAAUUGAUGGGGUUAGCGGUAACGCGAAGCUCUUGAUCGAAGCCCCGGUAAACGGCGGCCGUAACUAUAACGGUCCUAAGGUAGCGAAAUUCCUUGUCGGGUAAGUUCCGACCUGCACGAAUGGCGUAAUGAUGGCCAGGCUGUCUCCACCCGAGACUCAGUGAAAUUGAACUCGCUGUGAAGAUGCAGUGUACCCGCGGCAAGACGGAAAGACCCCGUGAACCUUUACUAUAGCUUGACACUGAACAUUGAGCCUUGAUGUGUAGGAUAGGUGGGAGGCUUUGAAGUGUGGACGCCAGUCUGCAUGGAGCCGACCUUGAAAUACCACCCUUUAAUGUUUGAUGUUCUAACGUGGGCCCCUUACCGGGGUUGCGGACAGUGUCUGGUGGGUAGUUUGACUGGGGCGGUCUCCUCCUAAAGAGUAACGGAGGAGCACGAAGGUUGGCUAAUCCUGGUCGGACAUCAGGAGGUUAGUGCAAUGGCAUAAGCCAGCUUGACUGCGAGCGUGACGGCGCGAGCAGGUGCGAAAGCAGGUCAUAGUGAUCCGGUGGUUCUGAAUGGAAGGGCCAUCGCUCAACGGAUAAAAGGUACUCCGGGGAUAACAGGCUGAUACCGCCCAAGAGUUCAUAUCGACGGCGGUGUUUGGCACCUCGAUGUCGGCUCAUCACAUCCUGGGGCUGAAGUAGGUCCCAAGGGUAUGGCUGUUCGCCAUUUAAAGUGGUACGCGAGCUGGGUUUAGAACGUCGUGAGACAGUUCGGUCCCUAUCUGCCGUGGGCGCUGGAGAACUGAGGGGGGCUGCUCCUAGUACGAGAGGACCGGAGUGGACGCAUCACUGGUGUUCGGGUUGUCAUGCCAAUGGCACUGCCCGGUAGCUAAAUGCGGAAGAGAUAAGUGCUGAAAGCAUCUAAGCACGAAACUUGCCCCGAGAUGAGUUCUCCCUGACUCCUUGAGAGUCCUGAAGGAACGUUGAAGACGACGACGUUGAUAGGCCGGGUGUGUAAGCGCAGCGAUGCGUUGAGCCUGUCUCUUAUACACAUCUAGAUGUGUAUAA